UGCGUAGGCGGUUAGUUAAGUCUGUUGUGAAAUCCCCGGGCUCAACCUGGGAAUGGCAAUGGAAACUGGCUAGCUAGAGUGUGUCGGAGGAUGGUGGAAUUUCCGGUGUAGCGGUGAAAUGCGUAGAGAUCGGAAGGAACAUCAGUGGCGAAGGCGGCCAUCUGGGACAACACUGACGCUGAAGCACGAAAGCGUGGGGAGGCAAACA
rnacentral:rRNA from 1 species